UUACUGCUCAGUCUAUCUACACACCCUGACGCAUUCACGCACAGCCAUAGAUACUCAAAACACACUCAAACACACACAGAAUGAAGCUAAACACACACUUACACACAUACACACAGCCUUAAAUGCUCAAAACACCCAUAUAGACCCAAAAACACUCGUGAACACACUCAAACACACACAGAACCAAGCUAAAUACACACACACACACACACACACACACAUACACAAUGAAGUGAAGUGUUACCAUAUUCCCAGGCAGUUUUUAGCAGCACAAGCGGCAAGACAAGAGUGAACCAGCAGUGCAAGGCAAGCCACCAUGACCUGCAGCCUUCACCACACCCCUCCUUCACUUACUCAAGGCUCAGACGUCAAGACGGAAGCAACAGAAGGAAGACGGAAGGAGAAACAAAGCAGGAGGACGAAGAAGAAACGAGAAAUAGAGGCGGAAUAGGAGAAGGAGCCAAGGUGUAAUAUUUAGCCCUGCCCAUCCUGCAGCCCCCGCGAGUGAUCCUGUACGCCCUGCCGCUGCUGCCGCUCCUGCUGGUGGUGACCCUGACAAUGAGAGUCAACCUGUGCUCUGUUCUCAGGGACUUGUACCAUUAUCGUGUGCUGUGAGAGGCGUAGAGCACUG